rnacentral:rRNA from 1 species
UCGAGAAUCAUUCGCAAUGGGCGCAAGCCUGACGAUGCGACGCCGUGUGAGCGAUGAAGGCCUUAGGGUCGUAAAGCUCUUUCGCUUGGGAACAAGAGAAGCUGGCUAAUAUCCAGCGGAUUUGAGGGUACCAGGUAAAGAAGCACCGGCUAACUCCGUGCCAGCAGCUGCGGUAAUACGGAGGGUGCAAGCAUUAAUCGGAUUUAUUGGGCGUAAAGGGCGCGUAGGCGGAAAGAUAAGUCAGAUGUGAAAUCCCGGGGCUCAACCUCGGAACAGCAUUUGAAACUAUCUUUCUAGAGGGUAGGCGGAGAAAACGGAAUUCCACAAGUAGCGGUGAAAUGCGUAGAUAUGUGGAAGAACACCGGUGGCGAAGGCGGUUUUCUAGCUUACUCCUGACGCUGAGGCGCGAAAGCAAGGGGAUCAAACA